GGGUCGUUAGCUCAGUUGGUAGAGCAGCGGACUUUUAAUCCGUUGGUCGCA
rnacentral:tRNA from 2 species